rnacentral:lncRNA from 1 species
UUUUUUUUUUUUUCCUUUUUCAGAACUUACAGACUUUCUAAAUAGAUGGAGUUUCUGGGGGAUCACCUGGUUGGAAAGAGAGAUUUGGAGCUGGGUUUCAGAGUACUUUAUCCAAGACAGAUGAGUCUUAAUUGACCAGCCCAGAGAACCAGGGUGGGGAGCUGGAAGUUUGUGGGGGAAAGGGGCCCCCCUCCCAGUCACCCUUGGCUCCAUUUUCAUGGUAUCCUUCUGCACUGUUCCAUUCUGGUUCCACGUGAACCUGCUGCUCUGGAAAAAUGAGUCUGUUGAGAUGGAAAUUUCACUUGUAUUUGACCACUGAGAGUCUGUGGCCUAGAAGGUGCUGGCCUGGAGUGCUGCCAUCAGAGCGGCAGCCUCGUUCUAGAGCAUUCUGCCUGAGCCCAGCAUGGAGCAGAGAGCUGAAAUCAUGAGUCAUUCUACUGUCACUCCUCCAGAGCCUGCAAGGGAGUACUGGGGGGUCAUCCAUGUCUGACAGGCGAGGACAAUGGGGCUCAGUGAGGUUACAUAACUGCCUGAGGGUCACUCUGCUAGAGAGAGGCAGAACUCGGUCCAACAUCAGGUCUGUCAAACCCCAGAGCCCCCGGUCCUGACAACUGUCUGAUCUUCCACUACUUAGAGUCCUUAGAAUGCUUCUGGAUGUCCUUGUGUUGGAGGAAGCCAUUUAAUCCCAUGGAAUGACGCUGUGAGGCAGAGCGCGUCAUGUUAACCCUGGAAGCGGUGACUUGUCUGAGGUUCUGUGGCUACUAUUGUGCAGAAGGUCAGCAUUUCCCCGGAGGCCACUGGCAAUCCUAGUGGCUGCUGGCUAUGGUAGGGGUGGGUGGUUAUGUUGAGGGAGGCCAGGUUGCCCCCUUUUUUUUUUUUGAGUCAGAGUCUCGCUGGAGUGCAGUGGCACAAUCUCAGCUCACUGCAACCUCUGCCUCCCAGGUUCAAGCAAUUCUCCUGCCUCAGCCUCCCAAGUAGCUGGGACUAUAGGAGAGUGCCACUACAGGAGUGUGCCACCACACCUGGCUUUUUUUUUUUUUUUUUUUUUUUGAGACAGAUCUCACUCUGUCACCCAGGCUGGAGUGCAGUGGCAUAGUCUUGGCUCACUGCAACCUCCAUCUCCAGGAUUCAAGUGAUUCUCCUGUCUCAGCCUCCAGAGUAGCUGGGACUACAGGUGUGUGCCACCACGCCUGGUUAAUUUUUUGUAUUUUUAGUAGAGACGGGGUUUCACCAUGUUGGCCAGGCUGGUCUUGAACUCCCGACCUAAAGUGAUCUGCCUGCCUUGGCCUCCCAGAGUGCUAGGAUUACAGGCCUGAGCCACCACGCCUGGCCUUAGGUUGCCCAAUUCUUAGUAAUCUGAGAUGGAAGGGAGGGGGCAGCCCAGAGCCCAAAAAUGAGGGUUCCUCCCCUCGUCUCCCCUACUUUCAUCAUCUGUAGGGUGGUUCUCAAAAUCAUGUCCAUUUUACAGGGCAAAUGGUAGAAGUAACCUGCUCAGUCAGGAUAGAUCAGAUUACAGUCAAAGCCAGACCAGCCACACCCUGAUGCUACUGUCCAGGCC